UUUAACAAUGAACAUAAAUAAGGUGAUGAAUUCAUUUUUACUAAUGUUAAGCUAGCCAAGAGGACUGUGUUAUGCAAGUCCCAGAGCAUCCCCAGCAGCGAUCUUGUAAAUUAACUGCUGGUUUAAUUGCGGUAGCUGAUUCUCAGGCAUCAGGCAGACAUGUGUCGUGGGCGGGGUCUUUGGAGGACCCCGUGUCGACGAAACCGGAAAUAAACAUUACGACUGCAUCGCUGCUGCAAGCUGAAGUAUACCAAAAGAUGCAUUUGGGUGUCGGCAAAAUAGACGUCAGUAUUAGAUAUCUUCAAAGCAAAACUACAAUUCGCUGUCUGCUCGCAUAAAGACAACAAAACAACACAAGAUGGAGUUGAAGCAGUAUCUGCCGAUGCCUGCACAAUUAUUUGACUGAGACAUCGCUAAAAGAUUAUAUUUUCUACCUGGCAUCAUUUACUUAAAGUUGCCAACACACCAGCUUUGUUGUUAAAAUAUAAACGUUAUUAACUAGACUAGAAUUUAAAUUAUAAUUCCUCUGUGGUUGUGUGGCAAGUACUCAAGGAAAGUAGGUGACCGCGUCGAUGCCUGUUGAAAAUACUGCAAACGUCAGUAAGUCGUUUACGAAAUGUUUUCUUUUUCAGUCUUACAUAUGUAUAAAAUACAGUUUUUAAAUCUGAUUCAUGGGGGAAUUUAUUUAAUUUACACAACCUGUACGGACCGAGAUCUACUUCACCUCUGUGUCACCUAAAGAUGACUGGUUAGGGCAGCUGUCCUGAUGACCCUGGCCUUUGCCUCUGGGGCAACCAAGGCCCAAGAUAUUAAGUUCUUGGCCUCAGUCCUUUUACAGACAGAUAGUUAGUCUCCAGUUAGAUUGUUUUACAUGUUGUCUAAGAGUAGUUAAUACAAAAACAAAUACAAAAACAACAUCUGAAUCACAGUGUAAAAUUCCUUUUCAGGCCUUCAUAAAUACACAUGCGCAAACCUCAGUUACUCAUCUACUAUCACUCUCAGGACAAUCAAAAUUCAUGAGACCAUCCUCUACUAUCACUGUCCAUCAACUGUUCCAUGCCCUAAGCAUUUUACUUCUAUACCUGUGUGCAUCCUAUUUCUGUCACUAAUUGCAGAAUGAAUGUGAACAGUUAUAUCUAAUCUGGAUGAAUGAGUGCAUUGAAUAUUGUAGGUUAAUAUGGGUGUAACACUGUCACUUUUUCACAGCUAACUGUCUCAUGUUACCUCGGACUGACUGUAUGUAAGAAUAACCAAAUUAUCAAAUCAAUAAAAUUGAAUAUACAUCUCA